rnacentral:rRNA from 1 species
GACGAACGCUGGCGGCGUGCUUAACACAUGCAAGUCGAACGGAAAGGCCCUGCUUGCAGGGUACUCGAGUGGCGAACGGGUGAGUAACACGUGGGUGAUCUGCCCUGCACUUCGGGAUAAGCCUGGGAAACUGGGUCUAAUACCGGAUAGGAGCCAUUUUUAGUGUGAUGGUUGGAAAGUUUUUUCGGUGUAGGAUGAGCUCGCGGCCUAUCAGCUUGUCGGUGGGGUAAUGGCCUACCAAGGCGGCGACGGGUAGCCGGCCUGAGAGGGUGGACGGCCACAUUGGGACUGAGAUACGGCCCAGACUCCUACGGGAGGCAGCAGUGGGGAAUAUUGCACAAUGGGCGCAAGCCUGAUGCAGCGACGCCGCGUGGGGGAGGACGGCCUUCGGGUUGUAAACUCCUUUCGCUAGGGACGAAGCUUUUUGUGACGGUACCUAGAUAAGAAGCACCGGCUAACUACGUG